rnacentral:rRNA from 1 species
AGCGAACGCUAGCGGCGGGCCUAACACAUGCAAGUCGAACGCGUACCUUCGGGUACGAGUGGCGAACGGGUGAGUAACACGUAGGUUACCUGCCCCCUGGUGGGGAAUAACUAAGGGAAACUUUAGCUAAUACCGCAUAUGGUCUUCGGAUCAAAGCCGUAAGGCGCCGGGGGAUGAGCCUGCGUCCCAUUAUUUAAUCCUUGUUGGCGGGGUAACGGCCCACCAAGGGUACGAUGGGUAGCUGGUCUGAGAGGAUGAUCAGCCACACUGGGACUGAGAAACGGCCCAGACUCCUACGGGAGGCAG